ACAUGGAGGUCAGGUCCUCUGUGCACAAAUCUGAUGAAGUUAAUUGAGGCCCAAGAGAACAUCGACAAGCUCAAUAAGGAGAUAAGCCACUAUUUAGACCACUGAAGAAGAAGGCUGGAAAGACAACUAUAGCCAGGCAUGGGGAGAACCAGCAGCAAAUGGAGUGGCAGCCUCUGGACAUGACAAGACUACUGUUUUCAUGAACUUGCUGCAGGGCUGUUGACUGUGCUAAGGUCAAGACAGUAAACGUUAUAGUAUGAUUCCCCAAUUCAUAAUUGUCAACUGUUGAGAGCUGAAGGAUAACGGGAAUGGAGACACAGUUUUAUUUAAGGGUAAAGCUACUGGUAGAUUCGCCAUACUUCAGUGAAAGGCCCCAGACCUAGGGCUAAUGGGCAGCACAGAUAGACUUGAUAGGUAAUUGAAGAAAGCAAAAAGGUACAUGAAAUUGAAAGAAGGAGAUGGAAAAGUCAAGUUUGGAGAGAAUUGGGGGAAGAUAUUUGAUGAAUAUGAUGAAAAUGUGUGCC
rnacentral:lncRNA from 1 species